rnacentral:lncRNA from 1 species
GUAGACCCAAGAUGGGGCUGAGACUUAUCUAGACUUGUUUUUCCCAGAGAUAGAAAGAAAUAACACACUUUUUUUUUUUUUUUUAUGGAGGUCUUAAUGAUGUUUAGCCUUCAAGCUUCACAAAAUGUGACCCACCGGGUGCCCCAGAGAUCAGAGGCGCCCGCCUAUCAGCUCGUGCUGCUGUCCCUCAGCCUUGCUGUGGGAGGGGCAAAUGCAUGGAAGGAUUAUGGAGAUCCAGAAAAGAAGAGCAGGCAAAGCCAUAGAAAAAAAAAUCACCAAGAUUUAUUAACCAGAGAGAUCCCCCCUUUUCAAGUGGGAAAAUACCAGGCAGAGCUCAGAGCACACCUCCAUACCCUCACCCUUUUUGUGCCCUUUCCUUGCUGCUGUUACAACAGGACAGCAGGCUGGAUGGAUGUUUGGCUUUGCUCACUGCAAAUGUUCUUCUCCUCUUUGAACCUCAAAGAGCCUGUUUUCCUCUUACGCUUCGGAUUUUGGAUCAAUGCUAGAGGCUGCAAAACUAACCCAAGGAAGGAAAAAGCCUUUGAUUAGACAAUCUGAGUGGUAAAGAAAAGUAUUGAACGGAAAGCGCUGUCAAUGAGCUACUCAAUGCAACAAUUAGAAGGUGAAACUUUUUCUUUCCCUUUCUAAGCAAGACACACCUCUGCUCUGCUGGAAGGAGGUGGGUGGGAGGAAUUUUUCUUGUUCUGGUGCCCAAUUGUCUCCUGGACCUUUUCCAUUUCAAAGAAGAGGGUGACCUAUAAAACUGUCCCACUUUCACAUCACCCAGUGCAGACUAGGAAACUAUCUGACAUUUAAAGGGACACUCCUGGUGUUUCCAGUAAGGAGCUUUCUGUGGCAAUAAAUGAAUAAAGAGGUGCAGAAAAAUGAUAUCUGUGCAAAUGUCCCUGGAAUGUUUCUCUUUGAAGAGUCGUUCCAACUCUGCUGGCAAUGUGGAUGGUCGUACAGCUGAAGUUUUGCUCUGACAGGGGAUCCCAUUGUUCCAUGAGCAUGACAUGAGAAUAAAACCUGAGGUGGUUGGUUCAAAGUGCCAACGUGCCUGGACUGUGCCUACUCCAAUCCAGGACAGACCAUGAGCUGCUUUUGCUGUGGUUCUGCAGGGACAAAAGGUACCACCAUAGGCUCUCUUGGAACGUGGGUUGGGAAAACGAGACACCCAAGGCAACCUGGCCUCAGUGACAGUGCCUCUGGACAUCAAGAGGGAGCUCAGGAACAAAUUUCUGCAAGGGACUUUCUACAAAUUCCCAAGCACAAACUGCCAAACACCUCAGCGCUGGGAACAUAUAUUUUUCUGCAAAUCAAAAAGUGUUCUUUCAAAACCGUAUGUCACUGAUGGAUCGGCCUGAUUUGCUGGGCUUUCUUUUGUGAAGGUCAAGCUGGAGUCCUAUUCCAAGCUGAUGAUGGCUUUGCUUCUCCAGGAUGCAAAGACGCUGGCCUGUUUGCUCUGGAAAAACUUUCAGCCAAGGCUUUGGCAGUCAAAAUUGACUUUGGAGACUGACUUUGCUUCUUGAACUGUUCUGGACCUGUUUCUUCCCAGCCAUGGAUUGGAUGCACCGUUCGUGUGAUAAACCACAGCAAUCCAACAGCAAUCCCACACUUACACAUCUCCCCUAGAAGGACGGUAAUUCUCAUGGAGCCAUUGUAGUGCCAUGGAUGAUUUAUGGUUUUGUGUGGAAAGCACAGAGGAUGCCUGCGUUCCUGUGUCCGUGAGGAGGCCUGCCUCCAUUCGUCAGUGGAGCUCACCACUUGGGAGUCUGCUUGGAUGAUUAUCUCCAUCUGACAGUGAGUUGCAGUAGAAAGAAGAAUGAACCCUACGGCACCUCCUGUACAGGGAGCAGCUCCUGCGUAGGACGUCUGUGGCUUUGUGAUUCUUGAGAGGCAUCUGUGCAGAUCCGGUCCUUGGUCCUCAGUAACAACACAGGAUCCCAUACAGCAAGGAUGAGGCAAGAGAUGACAGCUCACCACACAAGACCAAUCUGGGUGACAAAGCAGAGUCCUCUCUUUGCUUAUCCCCCGCCUUCCUGUGCAGCAGGACUGCCAGAAAUCACAGCGGUGCAAUACUCGGCAGGAUGACAAGGAACCUGCAGUCCAGAAGAGAAGCAGCCCUGACAAUUCCUCUGUUCCUGCUGCUCAGUGAAACGGUUGCGUGUGGGAUGCGAUCAGCGCUCUGCAGCUGCUCCUACAUUAGUGUGCAUCGGAGGCACUCGAUGGAAGCAGCCUGGCGAUCUGUCUAGACUUAUUUGCUGCCAGAGACCAACACUUCAUUCCACCUCCUGCCGUACAGUUCCAGGUGAGAUCAGUCAGUCAUGCAAUUGGGAAUCCCAGAUUUUGGGCAUUUCUCAUGGAUAACCCUUAAGGCUACUUCAGAAAGCGUUUCCAAGCCAAGCGUUAAUGAGCUCUGUUCCAGUGGGGACAGACUGGGAAGCUAAUGUGAUGCUUAGCAAGCCAUGUAAAUUCAGCCUUUAGUUCCAUGUGGUAUCCAUGGGCUUGGUGCAGACUUGGAGACCCAAGAGACUGGUUGCAAAGGCUGGUAAACAUCCAAUUCCUACUCUUGCCUGUAAUUCUUAUGGCCCCCUUGCAGUCCUGCUGGAUUACUCUCCAACCCAUGCUCAUCUCAUCUGCUGACUCCUCCUGCCUCAGAGCCCAUCAGACCUCCAGCUUCAGACCUGUGUGCAUUCUUACAACAGGCGGACGCUGCUGAGUUGGCCUCCAGGCCCCUGGACACAUCCUGACCCCAGGACACUGCACUAACAGAACCUGUCUGCCAAAAGAAGAAACUUAGCUGUCUCCCAUUUCUGUCUGUGGUCUGUCUCCUUGAAGACCAUGAGGUACUUCAUACAUUCCUCAGCUUUUGCCUGCUAUUUGUGAAUUAAUGGGGUGAAGCGAUUUCCCUGAACUUAUCAGAAAAUCUAUGUAAGACAGAGAAGAGGAAUGGGAUCUGGUCCAUCAGGUUUACAGGUGCUGACCGGAACAAACAAGUGGUCCAGACCCUGAAUGCUUUAAUAUCCAUCUCUUAAGAAAGAGGUCUUCUCCCCACUAUCCCAUGAAGGCAAUGAUCAUUGCUCAGAAAUUCAGCCUUUCGUCCUGAGUCAUCACUGCACCUGAAGGUGCUGGCCUAGAGCCAUGAAACUCUGCAACACCUCCUUCUGAAGAAACACAGGUGACUGUGCUGCUAUCAACAGAGGUGACAGGAGCAAAGACCUUUCUUCAUGCAAAUGAUCGAAGCAAGGAAGCAAAACUUCUUACAGCUGAAGAAGAACUGGCUGAAAGCAGAAUGUUUCUCAAAGUUUUCUGUGAGUCCACAUAAACUCUGCUGUAGAGAGAACCCCAUUGAGCUGUUCAGUAAAUUGGAUGGUUUAAAUAAUAUAUGGAC